rnacentral:tRNA from 1 species
GCAGGAGUAGCAAAGCCUGGUCAAAUGCGCAGGACUUAAGAUCCUGUGGCUUAGUGUCUUCGAAGGUUCGAAUCCUUCCUCCUGCA